rnacentral:rRNA from 1 species
AGCGAACGCUGGCGGCAGGCUUAACACAUGCAAGUCGAGCGGGCAUAGCAAUAUGUCAGCGGCAGACGGGUGAGUAACGCGUGGGAACGUACCUUUUGGUUCGGAACAACACAGGGAAACUUGUGCUAAUACCGGAUAAGCCCUUACGGGGAAAGAUUUAUCGCCGAAAGAUCGGCCCGCGUCUGAUUAGCUAGUUGGUGAGGUAAUGGCUCACCAAGGGGACGAUCAGUAGCUGGUCUGAGAGGAUGAUCAGACACAUUGGGACUGAGACACGGCCCAAACUCCUACGAGAGGUAGAAGUGGGGAAUAUUGGACAAUGGGCGCAAGCCUGAUCCAGCCAUGCCGCGUGGGUGAUGAAGGCCCUAGGGUUGUAAAGCUCUUUUGUGCGGGAAGAUAAUGACGGUACCGCAAGAAUAAGCCCCGGCUAACUUCGUGCCAGCCGCCGCCGUAAAAC